rnacentral:lncRNA from 1 species
AAGCAGCACAUGUGGGUCACCUUGGAGACAGCCGACCUACCAAUCUGAAAGAGACCGUUUUCCCUAACUUCCAGGACUGGGGGAGUUAACGGUUUGAGCGAACUCUCUCGCUGAAGUCCCACGGCUUCAGGGUCAUUCGACUUGCAAAUUGACUUGGCUCCUCUCUCACACCCAUGUUUAGGGGGCUGUGGCCAGCAUGGUGUUUUCCAUAGCCCUGGAACGGAAAUCAGGUUGGGCAGCGUGACCAACCGCUGAAGCACGGCAGGAGGAAUGACUAGAUAGGAUUUAAGGAUGGCUCCCGGGACCGCAGCAUCAGAGGAACGUCAAGAACACACCUUAAGGGAGAGAAAGACCGUUGUGAGGGCUCUCAGGAGCAAGCACCUAUACUCUCUUGGCAACUUUCCUCGAUGUCCAGUGUCCACGCACCUCCUAGCUUUGAGCAUCGCUGUCUACUCGUCCUUGAGAGCGUCAGCAAGAAGGAAAUUACUCUGCCAUUUUCAACCACCCCUCAUCCCAAUCUUACCAUACUUAUCCUAGACUGGCUCUUCCAGGACCAGAUCUGAGUCUGACUCACCUCUGUGUUCCCAAAAUUGAGUACCGGCUGGUCCAAGAGUGGUUUCCUACCUAUCCUUUAGUGAGCCUUCACAUUAGCCCGAGGAACCCACAGAAGACGCCUAUGACUCAAGAAUUAUCGGCCAACAUGUGGACUUCCUGCUGAUGUCUGCACUUGCAUUAGAGGAGGCUCUGGAAUACCAUUUGUGGUAAUGGACCACUUCUGUAUCUUGAUUGUGGUGAUGAUUAUAUGGGAUCAAAUCUCACAGGAGCAAAUGGCACAGGCUGCGUGCUGAGCGGAAGCCUCUGGACUCUUAAAGAAGGCUUCUGAGUUAGUGAAAUUGGACUACAGCCAACUUGCUGGCUCAGAGUUUUGUGGUCACAUUAGAUGUUGCUACUGGGGGAAGCUGGGGAACGGUCCAUGGAACCCUCUAUCUCUGCUAUUUAAGGCUUGUGAGUCUUAAACUAGAAUAAAAU